UCUAGAACUAGAAUCUAGAUCUAAUAGUGAAAAAAAAAAACUAGAUCUAGAUCUUAUAUUAUAAUCUAGAUCUACCUCUAGACUUAGAUCUAAAUCUAAUAGGCAGAGUAUAUUAGCAAAAAAAUAUUGAAAAAAAUAAGUACACAAAUAAUAAAAAAUCUAGCAUUAUCUAGAGAGUUUAGAUCUAGAUAAGAUAAUUUAUACAAUAAUUUGUAUCUUUCAAUUCAUAAGUUUUUAUACUACUGGUUGUCAAGGUUACCAAGUAAGCUGCUUAUCGAAGACCUAGUUCGUAUGUUGACAGUUUAAUUAGAUUUAAGAUCUAGAUUAGAUUUUGUCCUAGACCAGAAACAAAAAUGUCUCAUCAAAGUUGUGAAGAAAUUCAACUGGGAGAAGCACGAGAGACAUGGUGUGCAGUAGAGAGAAUGAAAGAGGAAGACUGGUGUCGUAAACAAAGAGCCCAUAUUCCCAGGUACCAGGAGGAAAUGAAAAGUGAUAUCUUCGGUUUCUGUGUCACUUCUACGCAGUUUGAAGAUCGCUGUACUUUUGAACCACCUAAAGCUAGGCGAAGAGAAAUGAAACAUUACCCCAAAAUACAUAAUCAAUCACAGCUGAAGAUUUGAAUCAAUUCUUCUAAUGAGCCAGGAAAAACUUAAAAGAAGAGAGUUUUAUUGCUUUGAACCUAAUUUCAUAUUUAAACAUGUAAUUAUAUAUCUCAACAGUAUUAAAAAUAGAAAGUCAGUAUUAAGUUUAUUUAUUUUUCAUAUUACAUUUCAGUACCGUAUUUUAUGAAAUGUUUUGUGUACUAUACAACCUUAUGAUUAUGUAUAAAACUUUUUUAUAACAGAUUUUAUUGAUCAUUUUGUGUCUGAGAAAAGACUAAAAUAAAGCAGAAAAUAAAAGUGCAGCAUUUAAAAAA